rnacentral:piRNA from 1 species
UAGUCAAAAAGUACAGGGUACACUUGAGAU